ensembl:lncRNA
GCUCCCUCUCCUCGUCCUGUCCCGGUGAAUCCACAGAACACAUCCGCCACCCACUGGUGUAGGCCCAGGAAUCCCAGGCAGGGGCUCUGAACAAUGUUAGGUUCCAGACUCCUACGAGACACACCGGAUUCUUUUCCUACCAAAAUGCACGUAUGACCCAUCCCCCUUGACUUGGGCCAUUUCUGGGGCUCACACCCCGCCAGGCAUGGAGCCCCAAGAGGUCCACAGGCCUAAGUCAGACCCUCCAGCUUGGUUUCCUAGGCAACAGCUGCUCUCCUUCCAGCAGCACACUGACCGAGGCAGGAAUAUUCUGUCGCUCCAAGAGUUCCUUCUCAAGGGGUGGGGGAUGCCAGCUUUCCUUACUUAUGGGCCCGAGGUGGACGGGACCCCAGCACCCAGCUCUCCCCAGUCUCCACCUCCCAUCGGCCCGUCUGUCUCACGUGCUCACAGGCAAGUGUCCUGCAAGACGGAUUCCACUUCCGCUCCGGGACAGCCUCACAGAGGAAAGGACACAGCCCCAAAGACCCUCACCUGUGGAUAGGAAGCCAGCCACACCGUCUCCUGCCUGGGACACUCCUGAGUGUGAAGAGAGGGUGCCUGUCCCGUGAGGUGCGGGUUUGAGGGGCUGGGCCUCCCAGGAGCCCUCUCUGCCUCUGCCCCCAGAGUCUGGGGCACAGAAGCGAGGACUUGCCUGGUUCUCUGGGCCUGUGCCUUCCGGUCCAUGAGGAGAAAAGGGGAAGUAGCCUCAGCUGAAGGCUGCAGGGUUGGGCAGUGGUUCUCCACCUGGUUGGCCAUUAGAAUCAUCUGGGAGCUUUUAAAACUACCUAAGGCAGGUCCCACCCAAGACCAUUGACUCAGAACCUCUGAGGGUGGGGCUGGGCUUAGAUCUUUCUUCAAAGCUCCCCGAGGUGAUCUCAGGUCCAGGCAGGGAUGAGGAGGAUGGGGCUGGAGGGAUCUGGGUGGAGCACCCUCCAGGGAGGACAAGCUGGAGGGAGCCCAGGUGCCCCUCCCCCUGCAGCUCAAAGGUCACAUCCUUCAAGAGAGCAUCCCAGACCUCAGUGUAAGGACGGGACGCUGGUUCCCAGGGCUGGGACCAUGCCCCUCCCUGUGCCUGGUUGUGUGGUCUGCUCCUGGCAGGCAGGACCAGGUCAGCCUUGUUCAGGCCACCACCCCAGGGAUGAGAAGUCCACUCCCUUGGGGUGCCCAUCAGAGGGGGAGGAGGAACUGUGGAGGAAGUGGGCAAGAAGGAAAACAAACCCCACGGAGCCCAUUCUCGCAGGAGUUAUGUCCUCAGCACCUUCCAAGCCCCCCUACUUAAGUCCAUAGUUUACUCCUGAAACAACCCCCCACGGAGAACUGACGCACUGAACCCAGCGUGCACCGACCACAUGCCAGGGGCUGACGAACUCGGACCCCACAGUCUGUUACAGGACACCAUCCACAACGCUAACUAUUAACCCCCCCAAAAUAGCUUCACUAGGCCAGGGACAUCUAGGGACAGGGACAUAAAACACAUUCUCCCAAAAUGGUAACAGGAUGUCUCCCGGGUGGUGCCGCCAUGGCCUUGAAAGAGCCGGGAGCGAUUUCAAAUGGGCUCUGGGCAGGAGAAGAGAGGGGGAGCGGCAGUCAGCAGGGGGCGGGUCACCCAUCACCACCAGGAAACAAGACGUUUACUUUUUACAAGGUCUCAUGUUCCUGCUUAUUCUUUACCUAAAAACCCAAACUUCCCAACUGGGUCUUCAAGUACCAAUGUCACCAAAAUCUCAAUUCAGCAAAAUACCCAAAAACACCAAUUAUUCCAGACAACGAGUUUAGAAAGAAAAAGGGACUGGGAAAUCAAGAUGAUACGAAGAAGGGUCUUGGAGGAAAAGUUCAGUUUGAUUAGACUGGAUUUUCUUACAAAGGGCUAUGACACGGGCCUUCGGAGAUGGUGCACCUUCGGGGUGCAGCAGCUGUGACCAAGCCCACAGCAGGGUCUUGGGACCCCCUCAGCCUGGUCUCCCUGGGGGCCUGUGAGUCUCUGCUGACUGGUGGGCUGGUCCUCAACAGCCAGCACCUCUGUCCCCGCCAUCUCCUGCUCCACCAGGCUGCAGCAGCUUCUCUUCAAGGAUGGUAAGGCUCAGAAAACAUCCGGGAGUCCUGGGGGCUGUUGACUUAGGAGAAGAAUCCGCUGCAGAGAAGGCCCCAGGGGACAGGACGAAGGAACGCCCUGCACCCCCCAGAACCAUCUAGAAAACCAAGGCUGGCACGCAGCAUUGAUUGGAUCUGAGGCAAACCAUCAGCAAAGCCCUUCCCAGGUUGAUGACAGGUUCUCACCUGGGCUAGGCUGGUGUCAACGACAGGCCCUCUGUUUGCCUCUGUUCGCCUGGUGCCCUUACAAUCCCAGUGUUGUCGGAGCUUCCGGGCCCAGGCGGCUGCUGGUCA